CCCUGUAGAUGAACUUGCUAUGAUAGAAGCAUCGUUGGGACUCUUUGUUCCUCUUCCUAGUGUGACCACAGUGAACAGACCUCCUUGUUGAAGUUGUUUGUUUAAUUGAUCUAUUGAGGAUGCGUGGCUGAGUGCAGCUUGUUAAGGCUGCCUGGGCCUGGAUUCUGACCCUAAAAACUGCAGCAGAAUUUGGGGUGACACUUUACAUUCAAACAUAACAAUGUCACUCUAUCUGACUUGGGCAUGGAUGGGCACAGCAUCGGCUGGCUUCCCCAGUAGAGCUCUAGAAUUUCUGGGGGUAGGGAGGGGGGACAGACCAGUGCACGGCUUAUACUAUUGAAGGUAUCUAAGUAGUCUCCCACUUACAGUUUCCCUCUUGCUCCUUGCAUGCCCCCUCUCAGUUUCUUCCUCUUGCUUUUAGCCAGUUUGGGGACAAUUGGGCACAGUUCCCUCAAUCCACUAUGCAGAUGUGUCACUGAAACUUUGACAAAUGUGGAGCUGGCUUGGAAUACAGCAGGUGACUCAGCUGGGGUACUGCUGCAGUAGGCACUGGUCUCACCCAUUCUAAAGACUGUGUUAGAAAGGAGCCUUGACCCUGGUUAGCUUUGGCAGGGGUGAAAGGUCGAGCAGGAGCUGAAGGUGACUAUGACACACCCCCCCUACAAUAAAGGUAAUGCUGGAUUUUACUUAGAAUCUUUUAUCAGGA
rnacentral:lncRNA from 1 species